rnacentral:misc_RNA from 1 species
GAUGAAGAACGCAGCGAAAUGCGAUAAGUAGUGUGAAUUGCAGAAUUCAGUGAAUCAUCGAAUCUUUGAACGCACAUUGCGGCCAUAGGUAUUCCUUUGGCCAUGCCUGUUCGAGCGUCAUUUACACCCUCAAGCCUAGCUUGGUGUUGGGCGUCUGUCCCGCCGUUCUCGCGCGCGGACUCGCCUCAAAGUCAUUGGCGGCGGUCGUGCCGGCCCCCUCGCGCAGCACAUUUGCGCUUCUCGGAGGCCCGGCGGAUCCGCGCUCCAGCAAGACCCUUCACGACUUGACCUCGGAUCAGGUAGGGAUACCCGCUGAACUUAAGCAUAUCAAUAAGCGGAGGA